UCUUCACUCUUCAAGCCUGAAUAAAGCAACAAAGCUGAGUCAAAACUCUGCACAGUAUGUUCUCUGCUCGACGCUGCUGAAGCAGUCCAUGUUCAUCAGAGCUUGACAUCUAGACUUAUUAAUUGUGACCUGAGGCUGAAGA